UGUGGUUCAUUUGAGCGUACCAGUUACAAGGAUAACUGUGGCAAUUCUAGAGCUAAUACAUGCGAAAAGCGCUGACUGCUUAGCCGGCUGGGAAGGUGGGUUUGGCGGGAUGCGUGCUUUUAUCAGACCAAAAACUGACCGGCUUCGGCCGCGACUCGAUUGGUGACUCUGGAUAACGUUGCGGAUCGCACGGUCUCAGCACCGGCGACAGAUCAUUCAAGCGUCUGCCCUAUCAACUUUCGUCGGUACGGUAUCGGCCUACCGAGGUUGUAACGGGUGACGGGGAAUCAGGGUUCGAUUCCGGAGAGGGAGCCUGAGAUACGGCUACCACA
rnacentral:rRNA from 1 species